GACUCUUGGCGAUAGAUAUCUUAGCUCUCACAUCGAUGAAGAGCGUAGCGAAAUGCAAUACUUGGUGUGAAUUGUAGAAUCUUGUGAACCACUGAGUCUUUGAAUGCAAGUUGCACCUGAAGCCAUUAGGUCGAGGGCACGUCUACUUGGGCGUCA